rnacentral:rRNA from 1 species
CAGUCGCCACGGGAAUACGUAGGUGGCGAGCGUUGUCCGGAAUCAUUGGGCGUAAAGGGAGCGCAGGCGGGCAUAUAAGUCUUUCUUAAAAGUUCGGGGCUCAACCCCGUGAUGGGAAAGAAACUAUAUGUCUUGAGUACAGGAGAGGAAAGCGGAAUUCCCAGUGUAGCGGUGAAAUGCGUAGAUAUUGGGAGGAACACCAGUGGCGAAGGCGGCUUUCUGGACUGCAACUGACGCUGAGGCUCGAAAGCCAGGGGAGCGAACGGGAUUAGAUACCCGCGUAGUCCCUGUCUCUUAUACA